rnacentral:rRNA from 1 species
UCGAAGGUAGCAUAAUCAGUAGUCUUUUAAUUGAAGGCUUGUAUGAAUGGUUGGACGAGAUAUUAACUGUUUCAUUUAAAAUUUUUAUAAAACUUUAUUUUUUAGUUAAAAAGCUAAAAUUUUAUUAAAAGACGAGAAGACCCUAUAAAUCUUAAUAUUUAUAUUAUUUUAAUUAUAAAGAUUAUUUAAAUUAUAAUUUUUAUGAAUAUUUUAUUGGGGUGAUAUUAAAAUUUAAUAAACUUUUAAUUUUUAAAUACAUUAAUUUAUGAGUAAUUGAUCCGUUAUUAACGAUUAAAAAUUUAAGUUACUUUAGGGAUAACAGCGUAAUUUUUUUGGAGAGUUCAUAUCGAUAAAAAAGAUUGCGACCUCGAUGUUGGAUUAA